UCUUGAAUAACUGCUUCCUGGGAUCAUGGUCCACUUCCUGUCCACAUCAUCCAUAAAAAGAUGUCCUCUUAUGAUUUUUUAAUGUAUUUUAAUUUGUUAUUUUGGUUUUUGAAAGUAGCCGAAACCCUGUUGUGAUAGCUGUAUAACAAUUCCUGUGUGGUACGACAAAUGAUGGUCAUAGAAAGCAGUUAUGCAAACAAUUUGUCUGCAGAAGAAAAACACAUUUUGAUUUAAUGAGUACUCUCACUGAACAUGUUCCUUUGUGUUAGCUUGUGGGUGUAUCAUUUGUUACUGUUGGAAAAAUAUUGUUCUUUUACCUUUCUUAGUAUAAUGAUGAUGAUAAGGAAAUAGUGCCCGCUUUAGGCUGAUGCCUAAAUAGAUAAGUGGACAAAUAAGAAGCCCACAGGAAAAACAGGCGUAGUCACAAGAUGGAAAACAUGAAUAUAGAUGCAUCAAUUUUAAAAGCGUGCAGACUCAACUUCCUUUCUGUAUUCAACUGUUGGUUGAUUACUUAUGUUCAAUUUCCCAUUCAACUUUUGUUGUUUUUCCUUUGACUUUGAAGUUUGCCGUGACUUCACGAAUUGGUCUGUUGAGGGUGAGUGUGGUUUCAAAGAUGACGGACUAGGCCUAUUCAGGCUCAAAAGGUUCAUGUGCAGUGUGGGGACAGGUGUGGUCAGCUGUUGGACUUGUGGUGGAGGCAGGUCUGGACUUGCUCUUGUUCGUUUUCGUUUGGCUUUGGCGAUUCGCUUGGCUUCUGCUACUUUGGCUGCCUUUGUUAGUUUGCAGCGCCAGGUCGGGCGAUCUAGGGCUAGUGUUUCUCUUGAGUUGUUCAAGAUUCCAAGUGUUUUUAGUGAGACAUUGGAAUCUGUCCUUGAAACGUUUUUUUCUUUCCUCCAACUGAGUGCUUGCCAUGAUACAGCUCCCCAUACAUCAGCUGUUUGGGCUGUCCGCCAUUCUGACUACGUGGCCGGCCUCCUGACUUGAGUUUUCUGGAGGAGGGUGUAGAUGCAUUGGAUAUCAACCCGCUCUAAAAUGUCCGUGUCUGGGGCUUUGCCCUGCCAUCUGAUGUGAAGGAGUUUACGGAGACAUCUCAGUUUGAGUUGAUUGAGCUGAUUUGUGUGUCUGUUGUAGACAGUCCAGGUUUCACUAGCGUAGAGAAGGGUGGUAAGAACCACUGCCUGGUAGACCUUCAGCUUUGUGGAGAGGCUAAGGCCUCUGCGCUCCCAGACAUUCUGGCGGAGUCUCCCAAAGGCAGCGCUAGCCUUGGCAACUCCAUAAAUUUCAGCACCUAUCUUAACAGCAAGUGCUGCCUGGAGUUUCUGUUCCUUCACCAUGAUUUCACUUUCAGGCACUUUGUAUGGUUGUCGGGGACCUGGUUUUCGAUUUUCUUAGUACUGAUUGUGAGGCCGAAGUUGUCAAAGGCUAAGGUGAAACAGUUCAUUUCCUUUUGCAUGCACUCUCUCUGUGCUAGCAUUGAGUGCACAGUCCUCAGUGGAAAGAAGUUCCCUGAUGACCGUUCCCUUCAUCUUGAUUAUGGCCUGGAAGCACCUAAUGUUGAACAAUCUGCCGUCAGUUUUGUAUCUGAUUCAGAUGCCAUCUUCACGAAAAUCUCUCACAUAGUUUAGCCAGUCAGUCAAAACCAUUGCCCUGUGUGUGGCCACUGCCGUACACUAGCAGUAUCCGUGGGGCCAUACGUGAGCUAUGUACAAGAGUGGGGAUCAAGUAGGGUCAUGACCCUCCUUACAGGGUGUGACUUUCAUUCAUUGGGGUGUUUGGUUCAGGGGGAGGGGUAGGACCUCUUGGUGAAUGACAGAAUGACCAUUCAGCUAACAAUAAAAUGAAACCAACUGUCAAACGUAAAUAAGCUUUUUAAAGUGCUACCCUCAUGAUUUUCACUUUGUGACUGCUUUUUUUUCCUAUGGACUCCUGUAAUGUAUUGUUGGUUUUGUGAAGGCGUUCAAGACUGCUCGACUGCUCAGUAUAAGCCUCCACCAUACACCACUUUUCACAAUGGUGCAUGGCAGAGUCUUAUGCAAAGCAGUGGAGUUGCAUAAGAUAUUUGAGCCAAGAUAUAGGUGCUUUGGACUCACAGGGUUUCUUUGCCAUGACUGUUACUGUGUCCUCUCCAUAAAAGUGCUUAAUAGCAUAUUUUAGUCAUCACUGAAGUAUGUAGUAAAGUUCUCAAACUUACAUGUUAUGUUCCCAUUCUUAGUCAAAGUCAUAUUUCGAUUUUAUUGUAUUGUGAGUCUAGGAUUUGGAUAUUCAAUUAUCACUGCUGACAGACAAAAUGCUAAAUGAUCAUGCUGCCUGUGUUUAUAUAUAUGGGCUGAUGUUUGUUUUCAUUCUCUUAAAAAAGGGAAAAAGUAGUUUUGAAAAACUCAUACUUCAGUUUUUGCUAAGAUGAUGUAUAACUCAACUUUCAUAUGGUUUGUCUCCCUGUUGAACUGAGAUAAUGACGUCCAUUUAACUGACUGAAGGCUGCAUAGUGCUUCAAAGAGUUUAGGAGACAAAAAUAGUCAGAUAUGGUUUCUUCUCAACUUUUUCUCUCCCCUAUUCCUAUGAUGCUCAUAUAUAUUUGUGUUCAAUUAGGUAAUGUGCUUUUUCAAAGUUCUUCCGUAGAUCAAAUGUUUUUAUAUACGUGAUCUUCAAUGAUAUUUAUGUCAAGGAAUAAAUGCUCAUUUUCCAUAGGAUCAUUCAAAUUGUCUUUGAGAUUAUCAGUUAAGCAAAAGUUAUUACUGCCAUAUGACAACUUUUUAAUUGAGUUGUGCUCUUAGUAAUGUUUGUGUGUCUUAAGUCUGUUGGAUAAUGUUUUUAUUGACAUAUAGCAUAUUCUUAAUAUUUUAAUUUGAUUCUCAACAAUAACACUGGCUUAAAAGUGUCAAUAUCAUGAUUGUGUGUUUGUAAAAAGUUAAAAUUUACUCAGUGUAUGAAUUGUGAAACCUCAUUGUAGUUGUUCUCUUUUGUGUGAGCAAGUUCUGCUGUAGCAGACCUGCCAAGUAUUCUGAUAAAAUAGGAGCCCUCCAAUUUUGUUUUGCCUAUGGAAGAACCUUGAUGGGAUUUGCUUGAAAUCCGAUUCAUUAGUUGAAAUCUGUUUCCAUAAGUCAUACAGAACUUAUUCAAAAUGAUAUAGAUAUGCACCAGGUUUAUUUGCAUUUAUUUGCAACUUUUGCAAAAAUUAUGGCACAUGAGUUGAAAAUACUCAUAUUCAUUUGCGUGUGUUUGCGUGUAUUUGCAAUAUACAUGUUUAUAUGCCAUGAUCGGAUGGCAACAUAAUCUGAAUCUACAGGGGUUCUGAAGAUUGAUUUUUUCCCCCUCUAGCUUCUAUUUUUAAGGUUUGGGGAAAGCUCUUUAUAUUUUUGCAUGGAGGCGUUGGAAGGUCUGCUGUUGUAGUACCAGAGAGUGGAGUUGGAAGGUCUGCUGUUGUAGUACCAAAGAGUGGAGUUGGAAGGUCUGCUGUUGUAGUACCAAAGAGUGGAGUUGGAAGGUCUGCUGUUGUAGUACCAGAGAGUGGAGUUGGAAGGUCUGCUGUUGUAGUACCAGAGAGUGGAGUUGGAAGGUCUGCUGUUGUAGUACCAGAGAGUGGAGUUGGAAGGUCUGCUGUUGUAGUACCAAAGAGUGGAGUUGGAAGGUCUGCUGUUGUAGUACCAAAGAGUGGAGUUGGAAGGUCUGCUGUUGUAGUACCAGAGAGUGGAGUUGGAAGGUCUGCUGUUGUAGUACCAGAGAGAGGCGUUGGAAGGUCUGCUGUUGUAGUACCAAAGAGUGGAGUUGGAACAGUCUGCUGUUGUAGUACCAGAGAGUGGAGUUGGAACAGUCUGCUGCAGGGGAUGCCAGUACUCUUGUAUCACUGCUUUAACUGUUGUAAGGGGAACAGAGUAUAUUUUUAUGCCCACAAUUUUAAGAGCCCACUUUCUUACAGGUUAGCAUAGAUAGCUGGAAACAGUUGAAAGAAUAUUUGCAUUAUGUUCUAAAGAUGUAAACAGUUACAUUAUAUCAAGUCUAUUAAGUUGUUUUGGUAGGAAUGUUCAGUCUCCAUAAAGGUGUAAAAUCUAGCUUGUCUUAAAAUUGUUUUUCUUGUUGGUAGAUGUGACACCUGAAUAGUUUGUACCUUGUCUUUAAAAAAAUUUUUUUUUUUUUUGCCGCAAAA
rnacentral:lncRNA from 1 species